rnacentral:rRNA from 1 species
CCUACGGGUGGCAGCAGUGGGGGAUAUUGCCCAAUGGGGGGAACCCUGAUGCAGCGACGCCGCGUGGGUGAAGGAGUGCUUCGGCAUGUAAAGCCCUAUCGGCAGAGAAGAAGCAAGACGGUACCUAACUAAGAAGCCCCGGCUAACUACUUGCCAGCAGCCGCGGUAAUACGUAGGGGGCGAUCGUUAUCCGGAUUCACUGGGUGUAAAGGCAGCGUAGACGGCCAUGCAAGCACGGGGUGAAAGCCCUGGGCCGAACCCCGGGACUGCCCUUGGAACUGCAUGGCUGGAGUGCGGGAGGGGCAGGCGGAAUUCCUGGUGUAGGGGUGAAAUGCGUAGAGAUCAGGAGGAACACCGGCGGCGAAGGCGGCCUGCUGGACCGCGACUGACGUUGAGGCUCGAAAGCGUGGGGAGCGAACAGGAUUAGAUACCCCUGUAGUC